rnacentral:rRNA from 1 species
GAGUUUGAUCCUGGCUCAGAACGAACGUUGGCGGCGUGGAUUAGGCAUGCAAGUCGAGGGUGCCCGCAAGGGUAACCGGCGUAAGGGGCAGUAAGGCGUGGGUACCUACCGUGGGGUUCGGGAUAGCCUUCAGAGAUGGAGGGUAAUACCGGAUGAUCUCGGAAGAGCAAAGGUUUGCCGCCCUGUGAGGGGCCCACGUGAUAUUACCUAGUUGGCGGGGUAACGGCCCACCAAGGGGAAGAUGUCUAGCGGGUGUGAGAGCACGACCCGCGCCACUCGCACUGAGACACUGGCGAGACACCUACGGGUGGCUGCAGUCGAGGAUCUUCGGCAAUGGGGGCAACCCUGACCGAGCGACGCCGCGUGUGCGAUGAAGGCCUUCGGGUUGUAAAGCACUGUCGAGGGGGAGAAAGGCCGCAAGGCGUGAUCUAACCCUGGAGGAAGCUCGGGCUAAGUUCGUGCCAGCAGCCGCGGUAAGACGAACCGAGCGAACGUUGUUCGGAAUAACUGGGCUUAAAGGGCGCGUAGGCGGGCGUUCAAGUUCGGGGUGAAAUCCUCCGGCUCAACCGGAGAACUGCCCCGAAUACUGGGCGUCUUGAGGGAGGUAGGGGCAC